GGGCGAGUGGCGAAAUUGGCAGACGCGCUACGUUCAGGUCGUAGUCCUCGCAAGAGGGUAGGAGUUCAAGUCUCCUCUCGCCCA
rnacentral:tRNA from 1 species